rnacentral:lncRNA from 1 species
UCCAACAUAUCAAACCCAUCAAAACUAAAAAAAAAAAGUGAAUACAUACCAAAACAUGAUUUAGAAAUGUUAAAGAUCCCAAGAUUCAUGUAUACCUCCAUUUCAUAAGCAUAAAACCGGCUAACCAUAAAAUGACAUAGAAGUCCCAUCUAAAAAUCUAAAUUUCUCAGUUGCAAUUAAAGUAACAUUUAUGUCCUACAAUGUAUGACAUAAGAGUUGCAUUUAAAAACCCAAAAUCUUGUUGCCUUCUUCUUUCUUUUUAUUCUCCAUUUCACCCUCCCAAGGGUGUAUACCUGCAUUUCAAAAUUUAAUGAGUUUUAGAGAUUUUUAUUGAAGAAAAUAAACAUGGAUCUAUGUUAUCAUAAAUGAACAAAUCUAAGAAUUAAUUUUUUUUUUCAAAUAGAAACAUUGUUCAAAGAAUAAGCAUUACUAUACAAUACCUAUGGAAAAAUUCAUGUAGUAGCUAAGGGACUCACCAUGCAUGGUGAUCAUGAUGCAUCAACAUGAUUCAUGAUUAGUUGUAGCAUAAAAGUAGCCCAUUCUCCUCUAAUUUCAUCGAAUUCUACUUGAGAAUAUGUUUCUUUUAUUACAAAACUGAAAUCAAAUAAGAAAAUAACAUUAAAAUGCAUAACAUUUGGAAGCCUAAAACUAUGUACAAUUCAUUAAAUAAGUAAUACCUUUGAAGCAAUAAUUGUAGGAUAAAAAAUUAUCUCUUUAAUGAAUCUCAUAACAAAGUAGCCACAUUCGAACCCUCCUUCUUAUCUUGGACACUAAUCGAUCAAUUAUAAAAUAACAUUAAUACUCACAUAUAUAAAUGGUGCAAAUGCAUAAGCUAAUGUGUAAAGAAAUUUUUUUGGAUGUCACCUGCACUAGUUGCUAAGAUGGCUCCCUCUUAGAUGUUUUCUUUGCAGAUAUUCGAAGAGCCCUAUGUAAAUAAGUUCAAUGGGUACAUUUUUAAAAUAGGUAAAUGCUAUAUGUUUUAAUAUAUAUAAAUAAUAAAAAAAAUGUGUUUGAGGUGAAUGUAUUUUUUUUUUUAUUUAAAAAUAAUACUAUGAAAAAUAAUAGGAAGAACUUACAUGUUUACGAUAUCCUUUAAGUCCUCACAUGGUUUGUGAUGCAUAGGGUCAAGAUAGUGGACUAUCAUUUUCCUUGGUUCAAGCACUACCUAAAUAUAAACCUUUUAAGUCCUCAUAUCUAUUUCUAUUAACAAAAUAUAAAAACUUUCCAAAACUUAACUACUUAAAUAUAAAAACAAAAUCAAAUAAAAUAUUUAGCUAAUUGGAUUUUAGAAACUAAAUAAACUAUAAAUAAACUAAAUAUAAAAACUAAAUAAAAUAUUUAUGCCCAUGAAUUAAUUGAAGAGGAUAGAAAGACACAGAGAGAACAUGACUAUGGUUAUGAUUUCCAUCUUAUCAUUUCCUGUCAAUACCACACAUGCCCAUUUUAAGGUUGGACACUACUUUUUGUUGCUGGACUUGGAAAGGGAACUUCAAAUUUGAAAACAUAAAUAAACCCUUAUGUAAAAAAAAAAAUACAUUAAAAUANNNNNNNNNNNNNNNNNNNNNNNNNNNNNNNNNNNNNNNNNNNNNNNNNNNNNNNNNNNNNNNNNNNNNNNNNNNNNNNNNNNNNNNNNNNNNNNNNNNNUAAAUAAAAAAUGGGUUGGGGGGAAAGUAUUUUUUAUUAUUUAAAAAUAAUACUAUGAAAAAUAAUAGGAAGAACUUGCAUGUUUACGAUAUCCUUUAAGUCCUCACAUGGUUUGUGAUGCAUAGGGUCAAGAUAGUGGACUAUCAUUUUCCUUGGUUGAAGCACUACCUAAAUAUAAACCUUUUAAGUCCUCAUAUCUAUUUCUAUUAACAAAAUAUAAAAACUUUACAAAACUUAACUACUUAAAUAUAAAAACAAAAUCAAAUAAAAUAUCUAGCUAAUUGGAUUUUAGAAACUAAAUAAACUAUAAAUAAACUAAAUAUAAAAACUAAAUAAAAUAUUUAUGCCCAUGAAUUAAUUGAAGAGGAUAGAAAGACACAGAGAGAACAUGACUAUGGUUAUGAUUUACAUCUUAUCAUUUCCUGUCAAUACCACACAUGCCCAUUUUAAGGUUGGACACUACUUUUUGUUGCUGGACUUGGAAAGGGAACUUCAAAUUUGAAAACAUAAAUAAACCCUUAUGUAAAAAAAAAAUAACAUUAAAAUAUAAUUGAGCAUUAAAAUAUUUACUCUCUUUCAUCACUUUCAUUUGAAUAUUAAUAAUCUCUUAUUGAGAUAGAUACUUACAAUUUAACAAAAUAGAAAUUCCUAAUAAUAAAAAAUAUAAAAUUUCUAUUUCUAUUAACAAAAUAUAAAAACUUUCCAAAACUCAACUACUUAAAUAUAAAAAUAAAAUCAAAUAAAAUAUCUAGCUAAUUGGAUUUUAGAAACUAAAUAAACUAAAUAUAAAAACUAAAUAAAAUAUCUAUGCCCAUUAAUUAAUUGAAGAUGAUAGAAAGGCACAGAGAGAACAUGGCUAUGGUUAUGAUUUCCAUCUUAUCAUAUCCCGUCAAUACCACACAUGCCCAUUUUAAGGUUGGACACUACUUUUGUUGCUGGACUUGGAAAGAGAACUUCAAAAUUGAAAACAUAAAUAAACCCUUAUGUAAAAAAAAAAAAAACAUUAAAAUAUAAUUGAGCAUUAAAAUAUUUACUCUCUUUCAUCACUUUCAUUUGAAUAUUAAUAAUCUCUUAUUGAGAUAGAUACUUACAAUUUAACAAAAUAGAAAUUCCUAAUAAUAAAAAAUAUAAAAAUUUCUAUUUCUAUUAACAAAAUAUAAAAACUUUCCAAAACUCAAAUACUUAAAUAUAAAAACAAAAUCAAAUAAAAUAUCUAACUAAUUGGAUUUUAGGAACUAAAUAAACUAUAAAUAAACUAAAUAUAAAAACUAAAUAAAAUAUCUAUGCCCAUGAAUUAAUUGAAGAGGAUAGAAAGACACAAAGAGAACAUGGCUAUGGUUAUGAUUUUCAUCUUAUCAUCUCCCGUCAAUACCACACAUGCCUUCCCGGAUUGGUCCUUUUGGGGUUGGAUACUCUCAACGAAAUUCUAUAUCUCAUUCCCACUUAGAUACAAAGAGAAAAAUUAUUCUUUUUUUUUCCUCUCUCGUUUUUUAGAAAGGAUGAAGAUUAUGUGAUAGUAUAUCUUAAAAAAAUUCUGUACCUGUCAUUCUCACACAAAUACAUAUUAAAAAUCAUUCAUUUUUUCCUGUUUUUCACUUUUUUUUAAGGACUUGAUCAUGUGUUUGGUUUAGAUUAAAAAAAUCAAUUAAUCUAUAGUUUUUUCUUCCAUGCUAGAAGAUUAAACCUAAAUUUUUCUUCCCUACAACUCAAGAAAACACAAUUCACAAAAACCAUAAUACAAAGAUGUUGAAACAAUUAAUAUAAUGGCAUUAAUAAAAGAAAAAAAAAAUGAUAGAUCCAAGAGAUUUUGGGUUACCUGGGAGUCCACAAAGUGAAGAAUGUUGGUUUUGAGCGUGUUGACUAUGGAUGAGUGAGAGAAAAGGUUGAAGAAGAUCAUGAUUUUAUAUAUAGGAUUUAUAUAUUGAGAUUUUUUGGAUUGUGGGUGAGAUAUGGAAACAAUGGGAUUUUUAUAUGGUAUCCAUCAUUAUUAAUUCUAAAACUGGGCUCAUCAAAUUAUAAUACUUAAAAAAAUUUAUUUUAUAUGAUGUCACUUCCCAAAAAAUGACACUAUAAAUAUAAAAUUAAUAUUAUCUAACUACCUCAAUUGAAGAUUUUUUAUAUGAUGUGUCACCUUUAUUAAUUAUAAACCCUAUGAUGUCAUUAUUUUAAAAGUGACACCGUAAAUAAUGACACCAUAAACUAUUUUUGUAGUAGUGAUAUAUAUAUAUAUAUAUAUAUAUAUAUAUUGUUUUUUUGUUUUUUUUUUCCAAGGCCUUCCUUCCAUCCAAUGCACACUGCCUUUUUUUUUUUUUCCAGCAACGUGCACACAACUAGAAUGCCUCAAUACAAUAAAUACAAGUAUCUAUAUCAACCCUCCAAAAUCCAGAAAUCAUGUAAUUCUUCCUAUUAUUUAUUUAUUUUUCUUUCAAUCUAACAACUCGACAAACAACAUAUUUAUUCAUUAUAUAAAUCUAAAAUUUAUUUUCUUCCUCUGAUUUUUUUUUUCAUUUUAAAUUUAUUUAUUUAUUUUUCUAUUCCAUUGAAAAUUUUGAAAUUUUCCUAUCUUCAUCAAUAAAUCAACCUAUACUUGCAAAUUUUCAAACAUUUUGAUCUAAAAGUUAAAUAAACAAACCCUAAUCUAGAUUUGGAUUUUCCAAAAAAUAUAUAAUGUGUUUGAAUUUAAAAUAUUAAUCUAGGGGUUAGAAUCUCACCUAUAGAGAUCUGUUCUUCAAACCUUGAAAUCUGACUCCAAUUUUACGUUCUCAGGAACUCUCUAUGAACAGGAAGAACAAAAUUCUAAUUUAUACCUAGAGUAUUAUUCGUAAAAUUACAUUUUCACCAUUAUUCCAUUUUAUUAAAAUAAUUAAUUAAUUAAUUUAAUAUUAUUGAUAUUUUCCUAAAUUGCCCCUAAAAAAAAAAACUUGGGCGUUACAUCCUCUCUUCCUUAACGAAAGUUUAGUCCUCUAAACUUGACAUUCCUCAGUCUUGAAAUAAUUGAGAAUGCUUUUCUCUCAUCUCUUUUUCUAACUCCCAAGUGGCCUCUCGGAUACUAUGAUUGCUCCACUGGACCUUUACCAACUUGACAACAGCAUGUCAUAGUACCUUAUCCAUCACAUCCACAAUUUGAACGGGUACCUCUUCAUAGGCCAAGUCCUCAAAAAUUUGAAUAGGCUCCAACUCCACAACAUGAGAGAGAUCAUAAAUAUAUUUUCUCAAGGUCGAAACAUGGAAUACAUUAUGAAUCUUAGAUAGACUUGGGGGCAAGGCCACUUUAUAAGCUAAAAUGCCUACUCUUUCUAAUACCUCAAUUGGUCCCAAAAAACGAGGACUGGGUUUCCUUUUUCUUUCAAAUCUCAUUAUAGACUUCAUAGGUGAAACUUUCAAGAAAACAUGAUCACCCACCUCAAACUCCAAAUAUCGUUUACGAUUAUUAGCAUAACUGUUUUGUCUACUUUGUGCUGCUUUCAAUCUUUCCUUAAUUAAAGAGACCUUUUCAACAGUCAACUACACAAGUUCAAGCCCCAAAAGAUUCUUCUCUCCAACAUCAUCCCAACAAACAGGAGAUCGACAUCUCCUACCAUACAACGCCUCAAAAGGUGCCAUCCCAAUGCUAGCUUGAAAGCUAUUAUUAUAGGCAAACUCCAUUAGGGGCAAAUAAUCAUCCCAAUUACCUUUUAGGUCCAAAGCACAAGCUCUCAACAAAUCUUCCAAGACUUGAAUUACCCUCUUUGAUUGACCAUCAGUCUACGGAUGAAAAACAAUACUAAAACUCAACUUAGUACCUAAUGCUUUCUGUAAACUAUGCCAAAAUCUAGAAGUGAAACAAGGAUCUCUGUCAGAUACUAUAGAAACAGGUACACCAUGCAUUCUCACAAUCUUCUUAAUAUAAAGAGAAGCCAAACGAUCCAUAGAAAAAAUGACUUUCAUAGGCAGAAAAUGAGUAGACUUUGUCAAUCAAUCAACAAUAACCCAAAUUGCAUUAUUGCCCCCUAAGGUCCUUGGUAACCCAGUCACAAAAUCCAUAGUAAUAUGUUCCCAUUUCCACUCGGAAUAGAAAGUGGUUGCAAAAACCCUGCUGGUCGUUGAUGCUCAUCUUUCACUUGUUGACACACCAAACAUUGAGCCACAAAUUGCGCAAUCUCUCACUUCAUACCUAACCACCAAUAAUUCUAUCUCAAAUAUUUGUACAUCUUUGUCCCUCCUGGGUGGAUUACAAGCCUAGAACAAUGAGCUUUCUCCAAAAGCUCCCUUCUUAAGUUUCCAUCAUUUAGGACAUAAAGUCCAGUCCUAAACCUCAAAAUCCCAUCAUCUAAUAAAACGAAGUCAGGCUUACUACCCUUUUUAACCUCUUCCAUAAGUUGCACUAAAUUCAAAUCAUUCUUUUGUAGGGCCUUAAUUCUCCCAACUAAGUUUGGUUGUACUCUAAAGUUCGCCACAAGAGCUCUCGAGUCCAAAACUCUCAUAUGGACUUGUAAACUCCUCAAAUCUUCCAAUAAUUACCUCUGACAACCUCUAAUAGCUGCUAAAGAACCAACAGAUUUCCUACUCAAGGCGUCAGCCAUAACAUUCGCCUUUUCUAAGUGAUACCGAAUAAUGCAGUCAUAGUCUUUAAGUAAUUCAAUCCACCUCAUCUGUCUCAUGUUCAAUUCCUUUUGGGAAAAUAAAUACUUCAAACUCUUAUGAUUUAUGAAUAUCUCAUAAGUUUCACCAAAAAGAAAAUGUCUCCAGAUUUUAAGUGCAAAAACCACUACAGCUAACUUCAAAUCAUGAGUAGGAUAAUUUUGUUCAUAAGACUUCAACUGCCUAGAAGCAUAAGCUACAACUUUCCCAUGUUGCAUAAGAACACAACCUAAACCCUGAUGAGAGGCAUCAUUAUACACCACAAACCCUCUUAAGCCUGAAGGGAUAGUCAAAAUAGGGGCUGCCACUAAUAUGUUCUUUAACUCUUGGAAACCACGUCCACAAUCAUUAUACCACUCAAACUUAACCCCUUUCUGAGUCAACCGGGUUAAAGGUAGGGCGAUCUUAGAGAACCCCUUAAUAAGCCACCUAUAAUAACCAUCCAGUCCUAAGAAACUUUGAAUCUCGGUCAUAGUAUUAGGUCUCCUCUAAUUUGACACAACAUCUACUUUUCCAAGGUCAAUAGAGAUGUCAUCCUUGGUCACUACAUGCCCAAGGAAAGAGACUUUAUCUAACCAGAACUCACACUUCUUUAGUUUAGCAUACAGUUGCUUAUCUCUGAGAGUCUGCAAUACAAAACUCAAAUGGCGCUCAUGCUCUUCACUACUCUUUGAGUACACCAAAAUAUCAUCUAUAAAAACUACCACAAACUGAUCUAGAUAAGGCUUGAAUACCCUAUUCAUUAAGUCCAUAAAAACAGUAGGUGCGUUAGUCAAACCAAAAGGCAUAACCAAAAACUCAUAAUGCCCAUAACUAGUUCGAAAAGCAGUCUUGGGUACAUCUUCACUUCUAACCCUUAACUGAUGAUAACCAGAUCGAAGAUCAAUUUUAGAGAACACACAUGCACCCUGAAGUGGAUCAAACAAAUCAUCAAUCCGAGGAAGAGGAUACUUGUUCCUCACCGUCACCUUAUUUAGCUUCCUAAAAUCAAUGCAGAGUCCAUAGAUCCAUCAUUCUUCUUUACAAAUAAAACCGGAGCUCCCCAAAGUGAAACACUAGGCCUAAUGAAGCCCUUAUCUAACAACUCCUAAAGUUGAAUCUUCAACUCCUUAAGCUCCAUAGGUGCCAUCCUAUAAGGGGCCUUAGAGAUAGGAGCUGUCUCUGGUGCCAAAUCAAUAGUGAACUCCACUUCCCUCUCUGGUGGCAAGCCAAGUAGAUCAUUUGGAAAGACAUCGGAAUAGUCUUUUACAAUGGGUAUGUCUUCCAACUUUAAAUCAUUUUCCUCAUUCACAACAUAAGUCAAAAAGCCUUGACAACCUUUCCUGAGCAAAGAACUAGCUCACAAGGCUGAGAUCAUACGUAGUGGUUUGUCCACAUGCUUGAUAAGAUAAAUAUAAAAAUAAUAAUAAUGAAGUUCUAAUAUUUUAUAAAUUAAAAUUAAUUUAAUAAGAUAAAUAAUAAAUUAUUAAGAUUGAUAUAUCCUUGCUUACUGAUAUUUUUCUCCUUAACCAUACCUAUGUCAAUUACACUCACAAAAUAACUUUAACAUGUGUAUUAUUGCUUAUUUUAUAAUUUUUUUGGAUGUUUUCUAAAUAUUUUCAAGAAUUUUGAAUAAUUUUCACUUCACCGAUAUUUUUAUCAAAAUAUCCACCAAUAUUUUUGAUAUAUUCGUAAAAUCCAAGUACCAAUAUAUUUGUAAUUACCAAUAUUUCAAACCAUGGUCUCAUGUAAUUUUUCUAAGAAAUGAAUAAAUAAGUAAAUAAAAAAAUAUGAAUAAAUAGAUAAAAGGUAUAAAAAUAAAAAUUAUACGUAUUCAAUAUAUAUAUAUAUAUAUAUAUAUAUAUAAAGAGGAAUUAAACUAAUGCAACAUAUAAUAAUAAUCGAAAUGUCAAACUAAAACCACCAAAGAUCAGAAAAUUCAUCUCAUGCAAUAAAAUAAUAAAAAAUUAAGCAAUCAAAACCAAAAACUAACCUAAGUGAGCUAGGUGGAAAAUGUAUCUAAGUGGCCUAAGUGGAAGUGCCAAUGUGAACUACGAUGUGUCUAAGUGACCUAGGGUGUGUCUAAGCAUGCUAAAGUGUGUCUAAGUGUCCUAAAAGUGUACCUAAAUGAGCUAUUCUAAAAAGAAAAAAAGGAAAAUCCUAGAUCUAACUCAGUGCUACCAAGGGUCACAAGGAGGGGUUAGAUAAAUCCCUCAACUAGAGUCUCCAAGAUGACUAAAAAAGGUAAGUUAUAUGAAUAGUAAUGGACCACCGGAGAACUAUUGAAAGAACACUCAAUAGGACAUGUGCUAAGGGGAUAAAAUGAAGGGUCUACACUGACAACCAAAUAUAUAAACAAACAAAGAAAGAAAACAACUAUCCCAUUCGAUCAACACAUGCAAUAAUAAAAAGGAACAUACACGUGUCCCUUGGCCAUGGGAUAAUAUCAAGGUUGCAAAAAAAAGGUUAGCACAUCCUAAAUAAAGAUCUAAGCAUGCUUAUAACAUUAUACUCUGAUACCAAUUGUUGGAAUCUUAGAUCUAAGCAACAAUAGUAAUACCAAAUUUUCAAAAAAUUGAUCUUUGUGGUUAAAGUACUAAUCUUUAGGUUUGGAUGUUCCUAAACCUUAAAUUCCAAUUAUUGAAAACAACCUCGAAGUUGUUGGAAGUCUCGUAAACCCACGAUCUUCCACCCAAUGACUCAACCUCGUCUUAGCAUACUUCUUAUGAGGAUGAAAGAAGGGUGGAUGCUAUGACUCUCUUUCUCUUUAGAUGGUGGAUGACAAAAGUGAUGGAAACCUAACCUUUAUAGAGUAUUUAUAAGGUUCCUAACUAGGUUUAAGUGACUUGAGCCACAUGGACUCGGGUCACUUAGUCUAGCCUAAAUUGAGUCUUAAUUGAUUAGUUAACCCAAAAAGGCCUACUAAUUAAUCAAUUAGCCUAAUCCAGAGGCCUUGUUCACUUACCCUUAUGCAACAUUACGUAAUUAUCAAAACGUCUUUAUACACAAAAGUGAACUUAGAGCAAUCCAACCCUCAUAACCCAUGCCAACAAGGUAUAUGAGCUCAAAGAGGUGACCAUUAGGACCCAUAGGAGUAUUGACUCCUUUAAAAUCCAAUUCUAAAGUUUAUUUAACAUCCCACUAUAGAGAAUCAAGUGAACUCCAACAUCUUAUGUAAAUAACAAGUAGACACCAGGUGCUUCUAAUCAUGACCUGUUAUCCAUUGCAUUCAGUCUUCCCAUGAACUAGUGUCUGUAGUCUAAUAAGGUGAAAGUUAUAAGCCUUUCAAGACUAUAUUUACUACCCUUGAGUUACAAAUCCUCCGAUUGUGUGUUCAAGUUUCGCUUAAGAAACUACUAUAACCAUAGUGUCUAUGAACACACCUCUUUAGGAUCACACAAGAGGAAACUCUGUCUCAAUCUUAUGAGAUAUCAUGGUGCCUUUAUUAAUAAUACCUAUUUCUAUUGGCUACCAUCAAUAGUGACCCAUUCCAUAAGGAAUAUAUGAUCAACUUAUGUGUCACCUAUAGGUCAAAGCCACUGGUAACUUUAGUACAAGCUUAAUAUUCUCUCAAGGUUGAGAUAUAACACAAUGAAAUAACUUGGUGAGGUUAUAACUACUUGAUAGCCUUAAGUUGUAACUCAUUGUAGGUUCUGUUCAAUGUGUAAUAAUACACACUAGUGCACUCACCAUGGGAAACCCAUCCUGAUAGCCCAGACCAUUCAUCCCUCCAAUUAGGAGGUAGUGCACUACAACCUUUAAUGGGUUGCUUAGACCCAUAAACCGGCUAUGAACAAGUCAUCUAUUUGUAAGGAACCGAUGACUUAGAUUUUUCAUGCAACUCUUAAUGUACUCAAGUUACAUACAAUGUAAAAGAUGUAGGCAAGAAUGCUCAUAUAGUAUAAUACAUGGAAUAAGGAUAGAUAAAAGUGAAACUGGAAUAUCAUUAAAUAAUAAUUCCAAAUUUGUUACAUCAAGUCAUUCUUUUAAAGGCUCUAUCCUAAUAGUCAAGUCCUUUGACUUUGAUAAAAAUAAGGAUGAACUUUGUGUGUAUAAGAAAGUGCAAGGAAGCACAAUGGUCUUUAUGGUCUUGUAUGUUGAUGACAUUCUACUCAUUGGUAAUGAUGUAAGGCUAUUGUCAUUAAUCAAGAUCUAGUUGCCUACUUAGUUUCAAAUAAAGGUUCUCGAAGAAACGUAAUAUAUUUUUGGGAUAAAGGUCCUCAGAGACAAUAAGAAUAGGAAAUAAGUGUUCUCUCAAGCUACCUACAUAGAUAAGUUUUUUUUAUGAAGUAUGUGAUGCAGGAUUCAAAGAAGGUUUAUUACCCUUCAAGCAUGAAAUUCUUCUUUCUUAGGAUCAGUGUCCUGGACACCUAAAAAGAAAAAGCAUAUGUAGCUAGUACCCUAUCAAAUCCAACCCAAAACAUUGGACAAUUAUCAAACAUAUACUCAAGUAUCUUAAGAGAAUGAGGGAUUAUAUGCUUGUGUUCUAGAGUGACGAGAUAGAACCUAGAGGAUACACAAAUUCAAACUUUUAGUAUGAUAAGGAUUCUAAUUGGUUUACUUCUAGUUUUGUUUUUACUUAUGGUGGUGCAGUUGUUAAUUGAAGAGUGAAACAAUUUUGCAUUGCUGACUCUACUAUGAAAGUUGAGUAUGUAGCAACUUCUACAGUAGUAAAGGAAGUUAUUUGGCUUAGGAAGUUCCUCAUGGAACUUGGGGUUGUUCCCUUAGUCAUAUAACCUAUGAUACCGUUUUGUGACAACAAUGGGGCUAUGACACAAUUUAAAGAAUCAAGUGUUAGGAUUAAGCCCUAGAAAACAUGACAUAAUGUAAAAGUUUGAGAUAUAUUUAUAAAUUUAUUUAUUUAUUUAUGUUUCUUGGUUUCCCUUGAUCAUAUUUACAUUAUUUGGUUAUUUAAACAUAUACACCCCACAUCACUUGCUUUGUACAUGACUUACAUGUAUUAAGAGUUGCAUAGAAAAUCCAAGUUAUGGGUUCCUUACAGAGUGAUGAGUUAUCCACAGUCAAUUCAUGGAUUUGAUCAAUCCAUCUAAGAUUAUAGUAUACUACCUCCUAAUUAGAGGGAUGACUUAUUUUGGUUGUCGAGAUAGUUUUCCCAUGGUGAGUGCACUAGUGUAUGUGAUGCACACUGGAUAGGACCUAUGGUGAAUCAUGACAUUAGGCUAUUAAUUGUCAUGAUUCCCCAAGCUACUAUAUUGUAUGGACUUUCAACCUUGAGAAGAUAUUGAACCUAUGUCAAAGUCAAUAGGAGGUUUUGACCUAUGGAUAUAUAAGACCCUAAGGUAGUCAUAUACCCCCAUGAAUUGGGUCAUUGUUGAUGGAAAUUGGUAACAACAAGUGUUCUCAAUAAAGGCAUCAUGAUAUCUCAUAGAUUGAGACACUGUAUCCCGUUGAGUGAUCUAAAGGACAUCUGACCUAGAAGACUAUGGCUAUAACAUUUUUUUUAGUGGAAAUUUGACAUAUGCUCCUUAAAGCUAGAGUAUUUCAAUUGAUCACACUAAUCUUCGUAGGUGAUAACACUACCUUUUUGGAUCAUGAACACCAGUUCAUGAGAAGUAUGCAUGUAAUGGAUAGUAGGUCACAGACUCGAGCUUCGUCUCAUUGUUAUUUACAUACUAGAGAGCAGUUGAUUCUCUUUAGUGAAAUAUUGAAUCAACUUCAUAAUUGGAUUUUGAGGGAGCUAGUACUCUAAUAGGUCCCAAUGGUCCUUACUUUGAGCUCAUAUACCAUGAUGACACAGUUUAUAAGGGUUGAAUUGGCUCUAGGUUCACUCUUAUGCAUAAGGGUGUUUUAGUAAUUACGCAAGGUGGCAUAGGGGAUAGUGAACAAGUUCUCUGGAUCAAGCUAAUUAAUUAAUUCGUUCUUUGUCUUCACCCAUCGAUUUGAAUUAGGAACAUUCGAAUCUAAGGUAUGUUUUUCAUUAGCACUUUCUAAAUCCAUAUUAAGUUUAAAAAUACAAUUUUUUCACUGUGCAUAGGAUUUAAAAAAUCCUAAGAUAGUCAAGAUUGUUCCUAAAGGAGAGAUUUGAGAUUUUCCCAUCAUAGAUGACUUGUUCACAGCCGAUUCAUAAGUCUAGGCAAUCCAUUAAAGGUUAUAGCACGCCAUGACCUAAUUGGAGGGAUAACUACUCUUGGUUAUUGGGAUGAAUUUCUUAUGGAGUGCACUAGUAUGUAUGGUUACUCAUUGCCUUUCAAAUGGUUGUAGCUCCACUCCAGGCAUGAGUAUACUUUUUCCUCCACUUCUCUGAUGUUUGUUGGUGCAGAACUCCUGAGUUCUUCCAAGGCAUUCUUCCAUAUAGCCAGGCUUUCAUCUUUUAAUGCCUUUGCAAUUGUUACAAUUGCAACUGGUAGAAGACCCUCGCAUUCUUUAACUGUCUCCCUUGCUGUGGGUUGCAAUUCAAGAUUAUUCUCCACGGAAUCACCUGCUGUCUUCUUAAAUAAAUGCCAUGCUUCUUCUUGUGAUAAAUGUUAAAUUGGAAAACAUUCUUGUGCGCCCAUGUCUUUGCGUAAUAAGGCUUCAUUUCUAGAAGCCAACACUAUUUUGCAUUUUUUCUGAUCAUCUUUAGAAGGAAUUCCAACUUUCUCCAAAUCAACUUCCUUCCAAAUGUCAUCUAAGAUAAUAAGGAUCUUCUCCUUCUUCAGUCUCUGCUUCAGUUCAACUGCUCUUGUGGUUUCAUCUUUCCUCUGAAAUUGGAAGCCUAACAUUUCUGCAGUUUUUUUGUUGAAUUUUAGCAAUUCCUUCUUAAAGUUUUUCUGACUGUCGAGUCCAGGAUGAAUCUAUAUAGAUUUCUGUGGCGAACAAAUUCUCUUGCUUAGCUUGUAUAGUCACUUGUUUGACCAGCGUGGUUUUGCCCACACUGCCCAUGCCCCAUAUCCCAAUCAUAUUGACAUCAUCACAUCGUAACCGCUCCAUGAUUUUUUCCAAUGUCAGGUUUCUUGAUUCAAAAGCUUCGUGACCUUCAAGAGCUGUAGAUCCAGCCCCUAACAGGGGGAGCCGAUAAAAUAUUGUUUGAAAAUCGCCUCCUUCUUGGCUUUUCUUGACAUCCAGGGCCUUUUUCUUUGCUUGACUGCUGAGCUGGUAUCGUGAGAUCAAAUUAUUGGCACAACCCAGCAGUUUGUUUUGAAUCCGGGAUUUUCUUCAAUCAGUUUGUUGAUAACUCCUUAACUAGUCAAACUACCAUUUCGGGUGGAAGUUGUUGCCAUUGAGACUUCUUCAUCUUUCAACUUCUCUCCACUAUUGUAGCAUGAAUUGUGGGAGUUUUCAGCCUUAUCACUUCCAUAGUUAUCCACCUUAUCACUCCGUUGAGUCCCACAAUUCACGCCAAGGUGCUGCUGGGUUGUGCCAAUACAAAUUAGGACAGCCCUUGAGACAGCUCUUCUUUGCUUUCUUUUCAUCUUCAAUGAAUUCCUGAGCCUCCUAGGAGAUGUCAUCAGCUCGUGUCAGCCAGAUGCGAACAUCUAGUAAGAUUUCACCCCCAUGCCUAUUAGCCUCGCCCACACGUAGCUGCAGGCUCUCCCUUGCUUCACCCAGCUUCUCAACUUGAUCCCGGAUUUCCGCCAUGUUGCAAUUGUAAUGAAAGAGAUAACCUAGCUGAUGUCCAACUGGAGCAACCAAGUAUUCAGCAACUUUUGCUGCAAUGGAAAUAACAAUCUCCACCAUUUUCUACUUUUGAUUUUUUCUUUUCCCUGGGUAAAUUGGUGAGAAUUAAGCUAAAGCAGAUAACAGAAAAAGAAAUAAUAAGGACAGAGCGCUAUUGGAUUGAAUGUGAGAAAUGAAAAACAAGGAGAUGAAAGGUUUUAGCUAUCAAAGGAGAAGAGUUUUGCUCCAAGAGGAGAGACAAGCACCAGGAAUGCGAAAGGACCGAAAGUAGGAAUGGACAACAAACAAGGACAAAAGGGCUCCGGAAUCAAAAGAGAGAUAACCCAGCUGACGUCCAAUUGGAUCUACCAAGUAUUUAGUUGAGUUUUCUUUUUCAGGUUAUGGCGAAAUAGCUAGAUGAGGAAAGCAAACUGGAGAGAGGAUAAUGAUGUACUUGGAUUGAACGAGAGAAACGAAAUUAAUGAAGGAAAUGAAGGCACCAGUGUAUUUGUUAAUCAAAGAAGGAAAGAUGGUAAUAGGAUGGAUAGUGUUGAGGAGUGAGAACGAGCAUGAUGGCAAGCGUAGAGGGCAGUAGUAAUGGAUGGUGAGUAGGAAAUGAAAGGCAGAAGCAAAUGAAAGCAGCAAUAAGAAGAAACUAAAAGAAGAAAGCGCAAGAAAUGAAAGGAGAAGAGUAUUCUGUUCCAAGUAGAGGGGUGGUGAGUAGGAAAAUGAAAAGAAGAAACAGUGGUGAAAUUGAAAACGAGUGAAGUUAGGAAUGGAUGAUAAAGAGGCAAAUGGGUCGAGAGUGAAGUGAUGGAGAAAGCUCAAGGAAUGCUUGUGAUUUGAUUCAGUGUGAGAAAACGAGCACAAGGAAAGCUAAUGUUUUGAAAGCAAAAAAGGCAGAGCAAGCAGGUCCCUGAUGUAAGGUUGGAUGUGAAGACUGAAAACGAGAUUAGAGUGGUAGGUACGAGAGAGAGCAGCAGCAACAGGGUUCCAAGCAGAGAGAAAUGAGAAUACACCACCAAAAUUCAUUAAUGAUUUGAGUGUAUUUAGGCAUUUUUAACAAAAACAAGUAUUUUGCAGCCUUGGAUUCCAGUGGCCAUUAUUCACCUGCAUCUCACUCCCACAACUCAUUCUAGACUCAGUGUCACCCGUCUGAACUAAUAUUUUUUAAAGCGUAGUAAAUUAUAGGUAUUGAAGACGACAAGAGGGAAAUAUUAUUAGAACCUUUUUAAAAACCUUUUUAUAUUUUUAAAAAAUCAUCUAAAUUAUCUCUCAUCUUACUCCCCUUCCUCCUUUAUUCCCAUUUAUUCAUCUCCUUUAAAACAAAAAUAUGCCAAAGUGCCCUAAUUUCUAUUCUUUAUUAAUAUUAGUAAGUUACUGUAACGAAUGUAAGAUACGUGUCUUACUAAGACAGUGUUUGUUUUUUAUUGAACCAAAAAAAAAUUUAAUUUUUUUUUAUUUAGAUAAAAGUAAUCUAUCGAUAUCAAUUAACAUAAUUAAAAUGAAUUUGUUAUUAAUAUAUUCAAUUUAGUUAUAUUAAUUAAUAUCAAUAAAUUACUUUUAGUUGAAUAAAAAAAAAAGUCAAAUAUUUAACUUUUUCUAUUUAGAAAAACCAAACACCACCUAAGUUUCUACUAUUUAUUCUUAUUAUUAUUAAUUUAUUUUUUAAGCAUAUAAUUAAAUUUUCUUUACAUAAAAACAAUAUUAACUGCUUUGUUGUUUAAAAAGAUCACAUUUUUAAAGUGCUUGUAAUUGCAAUUGAUGGGAAAAUGAAAAUUACUCGAAAGAUGUUUGUAUUAUUGAAACAUAGUUGUUUAUAUGUAUAAUGUUUUAAAAAAUAUAUGUGAAUUUAAAUGUAUACACUUCUGUGGACCCCGUAUUUUGGCUCAAUGCGUUUCCCACUCGAUGGCAAGCUCGAUUUUUCUUUUGAAAAUUUGAUUUUAUUUUGAUUAAGAAAACUGAUUUAGAGUCACCACUUAUUUUUGUUUUAUUUUUAAAAGGGUAAACAAAAUAAGAAAGAAAAACCCUAAGUGUGACUCCUUAUUUUGGAAAAGGUGAUCUACGAAAAACUGGAUCGGGUUCGGGGGUCAGGUUACUUAUCGGGAAGGUACGGUAAAAACCAUAGCACCCCUCUAAGCCCCUGAAGUCGGGUCUCUACUAAUAAAAUGAAGUUGACAUGGCAAUUAAUGAGAAAGUCAAUGGAUACCUAAGUCAAAUCAUGCAUAUGAGAAUCGGAACAUACGUAGAGAAUGAUCAGGAUGAAAAUGCAUGCGUACCUGGGCCACGAGCCAGAAUGCGCUAUCAAGAAACAGGAUUAGGACACAAUUAAUGAAUACAAAAUACAGUUCAUGCAUAUCGGAGUGCAAAACGAAGAUUAAGCAAAAUAUAUUAAGCACAACAGUUGACAAUCGAAAGAGAUCAAACAUAGGGCCCCCACCAAAGCCUAAUUUAUUACUCAUGAACUAGUCUCACAAAUUCUGUGUUUUAGAAUUAUGAAGAAUUCAAGAAUUCACUAUUACUUAUGUAAAAUCAAGAAGAACAGAGGAUUAUUUAGGAACCGAAAUGGAAUUAAAACUAUUUGAGUAAAAACUGGAUUCUUGAAAUUUGUUUGAAAAUCGGGGGUCUUGGGAAUUAAAUUUAAGAUUGAGAAUUAAAUUAGAAAGAAAUUAGAAUUUUGGAAAUUGGAAAUUAAGUUCGGAAAUUGGAAUUUUCAAGAAUUGUUUAAAAUGAAAUUUCAGAAUAAAUAAGUAAGAUAAUAAUAAUUAAAUAGAUUAAUGUGAAUAUUGAAAUUUUGGAAUUAGAAAUUAAAUUGGAAGUCGGAAAUUUUAAUGAAUUGUUUAAGAAUGGAAUUUUAGAAUAAAUAAGUAAAAAUAAUAAUAAUUAAAUAGAUUAAUGUUUAGCAUAAAUAAGUAAAAAUAAUAAUAAUUAAAUAGAUUAAUGUUUAGAAUAAAUAAGUAAAAAUAAUAAUAAUUAAAUAGAUUAAUGUGAAUGUUGGGAUUUGUGGAAUUAGAAAUUAAAAUCGGAAGUCAAAAAUUUUAAUGAAUUGUUUAAAAUGAAAUUUUAGAAUAAAUAAAUAAAAUAAUAAUUAAAUAGAUUAAUGUGAAUAUCGGAAUUUUCAGAAAUAGAAAUUUAAUUCGAAAAUCGGAAGUUUUAAAUGAAUUGUUGAAAAUGGAAUUUUAGAAUAAAUAAAUAAAGUAAUAAUAAUUAAAUAUAUUAAUGUGAAAAUUGGGAUUUCAUAAAAUUAUUUGAGAAUGAAAUUUUUAACGAUUAUUUGAAAAUUGGAAUAGAAAUGGGAUUGUUCGUGAAAUCGGAAUUUUGAGAAUCAUUUAAAAAGAAUUUACGAAAAUCAGACAUUUGAUACCAAACUUUGACACAUGAAAAAAAAAUAAAAAAAAAUAAAAAAUAAAAUAAAAUCCACCAUGGAACCACAACUGGGCCUUGCCACUACCACUAAUUUAUUCAAAAAGAAAACUUGUGCCCAGCCACUUAUGAGAAAUACCAUGCCACCAUUGACUUUUCAUUUAUUUAAACUUUCUUAUGUCCUUAGUGGAUGGCCACCAACGAAGCCCCAUUUCUCCAUUGAAGCAACAGCCCGCAGCCCAUGUACACUCGGCAACGCACAAGUCACCAUGCGGAACCUCAUUCCACCUCCUAAAAGGCAGCAAGAGACUCGUGACAUGCUUAAAAACAUCAUGACUAGGUAUCUCGUGACAUUUGCAUGGAGCUUCGUUUACAUGGGUAUGGAUAUGGAUGGGGAGAAACGGGCACGAAAUGGGCAUGAGCAUGGAAUGAGCAAGAUGCAGCCAUGCAUGGCCACGCAUGGCCAUGCAAAAGUGGCAAGUGAGGGGUUCAACGGAUAGGUGAACAACGAGGAAGCUGGAUAGAGAUGUGGGCAUAAAUGGUGAUCAGUCCAAGUGGUCUUGGGUGUGUGCGUGGUGUAGUGAGAGGAAAUGUGAGGGAUAAAAAAUGGGUGUGGGCAUGGGGGUAUGAGACAUGGAUAUAAAGAGAGAAGGGGAGAGGGACCAUGCGUGCCAAGCGGGUGUGGAAAUGAGAAAACAUCAAUGAGGAUGGAUGGAGAUAUGACUGUGGGCUGAUGUUGAAUGUUUCCACAAGUUUUACAUUUACACCUUUCAUCUUUAAAGAGUAUCUCAUUUCGUUGAUGCAACUGUAAAAUUUGAAGACUCGCCAUGGAUCCUCACCUUGUAAAACUAGCACAUCCUCCUCACUUUCAUGCAGUGUCUUUAGCUACCGUGGGGAGUGAGAUUCUGAGGAAGGAGACUUUUCUUGUAUUUCAUGGCAACAGUCCCAAAUAGAGCACCAACUCAGACUCAGAACCCUCAUUCCAUGGCGGAUAGGUCACCUGUACGCUUGGAUAGCCUCCAAACACUCACCUACUGAGGAUAUGCCUUUGAUAACCCUUUGUUCCCAUAGGCAGAGAUGAAGAAAAAAUUAAAUAAAAUAAUGCGUCCCAGGAGCAGGUACAGCAACAGGGGAAGAUGGAGAAAACAGAGCACGAAGUGCUGGAGUGGAAACGAAAUCCAUACAUGGUAAAUCUGGAACCAAUAUGCUUAGGUGGAGGGAUAUAUUGAAAAUGGAUCUCAAUCAAAUCUUCAAAGAAGAAACAAACAAGACAUGAAUACCAAAAUAGAAGUUUGAAAAUGGAUUGAAGACCAAGCUAAAAACCAAGCAUAACGUGAAAGCUCAAAUCCCAUAAGAACAUGAUAAAAUCCACAAGGCUCACAUGCAGACAUCAGAAUAAAUAUAUAUAUAUAAAAAAAACUAGUGAUCCCAUAAAUCAUAACUGAAACUAGAUGAAAGCAAAGAAAUCCAUUUAACAUAAAACCAUACCCAUGCUAUCCCUCCUUCAGCAACACCCCUCCCAGAAAGAUGAACCUGAUAGAACCAAAAAUGACAAGUUCUGUAAAUGCAAAGUUUGAUAACACUAGAACUCUGGG